AUCGAACGCUGGCGGCAGGCCUAACACAUGCAAGUCGAGCGAGCGGCGGACGGGUGAGUAAUGUAUGGGGACUGCCCGAUAGAGGGGGAUAACUACUGGAAACCGUGGCUAAUACCGCAUACUAUCCGAUAACCCAUAUGGGAUUAGCUAGUAGGUGGGGUAAAGGCUCACCUAGGCGGCGAUCUCUAGCGGGUCUGAGAGGAUGAUCAGCAACACUGGGACUGAGACACGGCCCAGACUCCUACGGAGGCAGCAGUGGGGAAUAUUGCACAAUGGGCGCAAGCCUGAUGCAGACAUGCCGCGUGUAUGGAGAAGGCCUUAGGGUUGUAAAGUACUUUCAGCGGGGAGGCGUUACCCGCAGAGGAAGCAACGGCUAACUCCGUGCCAGCAGCCGCGGUAAUAC
rnacentral:rRNA from 1 species